CGCGGCCUAUCAGCUUGUUGGUGGGGUAACGGCCUACCAAGGCAUCGACGGGUAGCUGGUCUGAGAGGACGAUCAGCCACACUGGGACUGAGACACGGCCCAGACUCCUACGGGAGGCAGCAGUGGGGAAUCUUGCGCAAUGGGCGAAAGCCUGACGCAGCAACACCGCGUGCGGGAUGAAGGCCUUCGGGUUGUAAACCGCUUUCAGCAGGGACGAAAUUGACGGUACCUGCAGAAGAAGCCCCGGCCAACUACGUGCCAGCAGCCGCGGUAACACGUAGGGGGCGAGCGUUGUCCGGAUUUAUUGGGCGUAAAGAGCUCGUAGGCGGCUCAGUCAGUCAGCUGUGAAAGCUCCGGGCUCAACCCGGAGAGGCCAGCUGAUACUGCUGUGGCUAGAGUCCGGUAGGGGAGCGUGGAACUCCUGGUGUAGCGGUGAAAUGCGCAGAUAUCAGGAAGAACACCAGCGGCGAAGGCGGCGCUCUGGGCCGGAACUGACGCUGAGGAGCGAAAGCGUGGGGAGCGAACAGGAUUAGAUACCCUGGUAGUCCACGCCGUAAACGUUGGGCACUAGGUGUGGGACCUUUCCAACAGGUUCCGUGCCGUAGCUAACGCAUUAAGUGCCCCGCCUGGGGAGUACGG
rnacentral:rRNA from 1 species